CUCACCUUCAAAGGCAAAGGAUUCAUGAAUAUUCAUUGAUCACCAAGAAAAGUGUUUGUGGUAACGUUGAAAGUUUCACUUACAGUAAAUCGGAGAACCUGUCAAGAAUCCAUCCGUUAGAACGCAAAGCCACACAUCACAAACCAUGGUUUUAUUUCCUGUUAUUGUUGUGCUGCUGACAGUCACAGACGCUGGUGCAGAGUCUGUUGCUAAAAUUGCCCCAGAUUGUCCCCCUGACAAGCCUCGUGUCAACUGCUUUGUGGAUCCGUGUUGGAGUGCCACAUGCCCGGCUGGGACAACAUGCGUAGCCAAUUACUGCGGGGGAUGUAAUGCUGAGUGUAAACCCGG